UACGAAGGGGGGCUAGCGUUGCUCGGAAUCACUGGGCGUAAAGGGUGCGUAGGCGGGUCUUUUAAGUCAGGGGUGAAAUCCUGGAGCUCAACUCCAGAACUGCCUUUGAUACUGAGGAUCUUGAGUUCGGGAGAGGGUGAGUGGAACUGCGAGUGUAGAGGUGAAAUUCGUAGAUAUUCGCAAGAACACCAGUGGCGAAGGCGGCUCACUGGCCCGAUACUGACGCUGAGGCACGAAAGCGUGGGGAGCAAACAGG
rnacentral:rRNA from 1 species